GCAAGCAACACGAGCACGAGCCCGGCCAUACGACCUCGGAAGGACACUUCACACCACCGGGUGGAGGCACUCGAGGCCCAGCUGGAACAAGAGAGGAGGAUACGGGAGCAAAUGCAGGCGACGAUGGAGGCCGAGCAGCGGAGGAUGGUGGAGAUUCUUCAGUACAUGCAAAGUAUUGGCGCCGCUACAGGUGUGGCUCCGCCACCUUCGCUAUUCGCUCCACCUCCACCUCCACCUCCUCACUAUUCUACUCCUGUGAGUAUAAAUAUUUUAGUUUGUAUGUUCAUGCUUACGGUCAAACCUAGUGGAGUAUGAAAGUUUUAUUCAUGUAUGGUAUAUAUUUAUCUUGUCUCACACAUGCAAUCUCUUCUCCUUUGUGCAGAAUCAAUCGGCGGCAUCGAACGAUCCUCAUGCUUCAGCGAAUCAUUCACCAAAUCAGUUUCAUUGACCAUCUUGGUGAUGAUACUUGUGGUUGUUAAUGGUACUUCUAUUUGCAAUUAUGGUUGUAGAUGAUGGAGCACUUGGAUUACUUGUGAACUUAUUUGUGAUAUAUUGUGAGACAUGUGAUGUUUGUGAUAUAUAUGUGGUGUUGGUGA